UUCUUAGAGAAAAUUUUAUUGAAUACGUGAUGAACACUUGAAAGUUUUUUUAAAGUGCGUAUUUUUUUGAGGAAUAUGAAAUGGGUGUUUUAGAGUGGAUAAUUUGAGGUGGAUUUUCCGUGUGACUGUAGUGGUGGGUUUGCAAUGAAGCUUGAGGUCCUGGUACUCAACUGUGUCAUUCAAUGGAGAGAAUGAUGAUGGGAAGGAUGAUGAAUUGGCCCAUGAAUUUUUUGAUUUUCUUAGUAAAAAGCCUGAAUUACAGUUCCAAGGUGUGGAUCCCAGCCAAGUUUGGGGAUUUCGUG
rnacentral:misc_RNA from 1 species